UACAGAGGGUGCGAGCGUUAAUCGGAAUUACUGGGCGUAAAGCGCGCGUAGGCGGCUUUCAAGUCGAUUGUGAAAUCCCCGGGCUUAACCUGGGAACUGCGUCCGAUACUGGUGGGCUUGAAUCCGGGAGAGGGAUGCGGAAUUCCAGGUGUAGCGGUGAAAUGCGUAGAUAUCUGGAGGAACACCGGUGGCGAAGGCGGCAUCCUGGACCGGUAUUGACGCUGAGGCGCGAAAGCCAGGGGAGCAAACGGG
rnacentral:rRNA from 1 species